CAGCUGUGCACGCCCAGGAUUUGCACUUGUUGAUCAGGCCUGAGCACCCACGGCCCAUCAUGGAGCUCUGGCUGAGCUGGGUUUUCCUUGUUGCUGUUUUAAAAGGUGUCCGGUGUGAAGUGCAGCUGGUGGAGUCUGGCGGAGGCUUGGUGCAAGCUGGCGGGUCCCUGAGACUCUCCUGUGCAGCCUCUGGAUUCACCUUCAGUAACUACUGGAUGGACUGGGUCCGCCAGGCUCCAGGAAAGGGUCUUGAUUGGGUUGGGAGAAUUAACCAUAAUAGUGGUACCACAAACUACGCAGGCUCUGUGAAGGGCCGAUUCACCAUCUCCAGAGACAACGCCAAGAACACGCUGUAUCUGCAAAUGACCCAACUGAAAACCGAGGACACGGCCGUGUAUUACUGUACAACACACAGUGAUGAGAUGUCAGGGUGAGCCCAGACACAAACCUCUUUGCAAGGCAGCUCAGGA